GCACCUAGUACCAAUAAAGGUAACAGCACCUAGUACCAGUGAAGGUAACAGCACCUAGUACCAGUGAGGGUAACAGCACCUAGUACCAGCGAGGGUAACAGCACCUAGUACCAGUGAGGGUAACAGCACCUAGAACCAGUAAAGGUAAUGGCACCUAGUACCAGUGAGGGUAACAGCACCUAGUACCAGUGAAGGUUACGGCACCCAGUACCAGUGAAGGUAACAGCACCUAGUACCAGUGAAGGUAACAGCACCUAGUACCAGUAAAGGUAACGGCACCUAGUACCAGUGAAGGUAACAGCACCCAGUACCAGUGAAGGUAACGGCACCUAGUACCAGUGAGGGUAACAGCACCUAGUACCAGUGACGGUAAUGGCACCUAGUACCAGUGAAGGUAACGGCACCUAGUACCAGUGAGGGUAACAGCACCCAGUACCAGUGACUAUAACACCACAUAAUACCUGUUGAGUUUACUACACAAACUAGAAUAGUACUUUGUUCCUUGAAGAUGCUAAAUGGGUGCAUAGUGCAGUUGCUUAAAAUAAUGCAAUUCUCUGCAAGUGUUAUACCAGUUGCUGGACUGAACUAAAAAAAAAACCCAAA